rnacentral:rRNA from 1 species
GAUGACUUAAAUGGCUGCAGUAAUUUGACUGUACAAAGGUAGCAUAAUCAUUAGAUUAUUAAUUGUAAUCUUGAAUGAAUGGUUAAACGAAAUAGAAACUGUCUCUAUUUAAUUAAUAUAAUUUAAAUUUUUAGUUAAAAUGCUAAAAUUUUUUUAAAGGACGAGAAGACCCUAUAGAUUUUUAUUUUGAUUUUUAUAAAUUUUUUUGGUAUAUUAUUAUUAAUAAAAAUUUUUGUUUUGUUGGGGUGACAUGGAGAUAUUAUUAACUCUUUAUUUUAUUAUUCAAUAAUAAUUGUUUAACUGAUUUAGUAUUAUUAAUUUAAGAUUUAAAUACCUUAGGGAUAACAGCGUAAUUUUUUUUGAGAGUUCAUAUUGACAAUUUAGAUUGCGACCUCGAUGUUGAAUUAAGAUUAUAAUUAGGUGUAGAUGCUUAAUAUUAUAGGUCUGUUCGACCUUUAAAUUCUUACAUGAUCUGAGUUCAAA